GGUGUCUCUGAAUUAGAAGAUGAGUUUUAGGAUUCUCUUACCCCUGCCUCGCAUUCUGUGGACUGCCUGGUAUGUCAUGGUUGCUCAGCAAGAUUUUUAGAAACGAAUGAAUGUUGCUGCUCGGAAUCUGAGAAGUGCAUAAUGACGCUGCGAGUAUCAUCGUGAUUAGAGCUGGGCCUGCCACACAGCUCACAUUCAGUCAACACGUGCUGAAUAAACAAGUGGGUAUCCCUGCA
rnacentral:lncRNA from 1 species